GUCUCUAAGCAAUGGAUGUCUUGGCUCCUCACACGAUGAAGAACGUGGCAUAAUGUGUUAAGUAACCGGAGUUGCAAACAUCAUGACAGGUUAAUCUUUGAAUGCAAAUUGCGCUAAACUCGAUCUCGGUCGAGA
rnacentral:rRNA from 1 species